UACAGAGGUGGCAAGCGUUGUUCGGAAUUACUGGGCGUAAAGGGCGCGUAGGCGGCCUUGUCAGUCAGACGUGAAAUCCCCAGGCUUAACUUGGGAACUGCGUCUGAUACUACAAGGCUGGAGUUCGGGAGAGGGAUGUGGAAUUCCAGGUGUAGCGGUGAAAUGCGUAGAUAUCUGGAGGAAUACCGGUGGCGAAGGCGGCAUCCUGGACCAUUACUGACGCUGAGGCGCGAAAGCUAGGGGAGCAAACGGG
rnacentral:rRNA from 1 species